rnacentral:rRNA from 1 species
GGCAAUGCCGCAGCCUUACCAUGCAGUUCGAGCGGAUGAGAGGAGCUUGCUCCUCCGAUUCAGCGGCGGACGGGUGAGUAAUGCCUAGGAAUCUGCCUGGUAGUGGGGGACAACGUUUCGAAAGGAACGCUAAUACCGCAUACGUCCUACGGGAGAAAGCAGGGGACCUUCGGGCCUUGCGCUAUCAGAUGAGCCUAGGUCGGAUUAGCUAGUUGGUGAGGUAAUGGCUCACCAAGGCGACGAUCCGUAACUGGUCUGAGAGGAUGAUCAGUCACACUGGAACUGAGACACGGUCCAGACUCCUACGGGAGGCAGCAGUGGGGAAUAUUGGACAAUGGGCGAAAGCCUGAUCCAGCCAUGCCGCGUGUGUGAAGAAGGUCUUCGGAUUGUAAAGCACUUUAAGUUGGGAGGAAGGGUUGUUUCCUAAUACGAAGCAAUUUUGACGUUACCGACAGAAUAAGCACCGGCUAACUCUGUGCCAGCAGCCGCGGUAAUACAGAGGGUGCAAGCGUUAAUCGGAAUUACUGGGCGUAAAGCGCGCGUAGGUGGUUUGUUAAGUUGAAUGUGAAAUCCCCGGGCUCAACCUGGGAACUGCAUCCAAAACUGGCAAGCUAGAGUAGGGUAGAGGGUGGGUGGAAUUUCCUGUGUAGCGGUGAAAUGCGUAGAUAUAGGAAGGAACACCAGUGGCGAAGGCGACCACCUGGACUCAUACUGACACUGAGGUGCGAAAGCGUGGGGAGCAAACAGAUA